AGUGCUCUUUGACUAAAAUGAGAGUCUAUCCUUCCUAGAAGGAAAAUGACACACUCUAAAGCCAGAUGAUAUGACGUAUCCAAAACUGGAAAGCAGGCAUUUUCUGAUACAUUUUGUUCCUGAACUGAAUUCAACUCAAGGUUUCUUGCAGUGGGGACUGAACAGAAGAAAUGAGAUGCUGAAAUUAUAAUAUGGGCUAGAACCAGGUUAUGGAGAAUCUCACCAAGGAUUUGAAUUUUCCUUCUUCUGGACCACGUUGUCAAGAAGGGAUCCUCACAAACUAGAACCAUACUGUAACUCUCUAUUUUCUCUAGGAGAACAUUUUAAAAGAAUGGAGGUGGGAUUGUCAAAAUACUCAUGAGUCAUUCCUGCUUAUUGGGUGACAGUAUUAUAUGCUAAGAAGAGCUAUACUUAUGGAACUGGGGAA